rnacentral:rRNA from 1 species
UACGAAGGGGGCUAGCGUUGUUCGGAAUUACUGGGCGUAAAGCGCACGUAGGCGGAUCGAUCAGUCAGGGGUGAAAUCCCAGAGCUCAACUCUGGAACUGCCUUUGAUACUGUCGAUCUAGAGUAUGGAAGAGGUGAGUGGAAUUCCGAGUGUAGAGGUGAAAUUCGUAGAUAUUCGGAAGAACACCAGUGGCGAAGGCGACUUACUGGACACAUAUUGACGCUGAGGUGCGAAAGCGUGGGGAGCAAACAGG